rnacentral:tRNA from 1 species
GAAAUAUAAAAUAAUUAAGCUGCUAACUUAAUUCUUAGUGAUUAAUUUCAUUAAUAUUUCU